CAGUGAAAUAAAUCCAAAAGGAUUUGUUAAAUACCUAUCGGUGUGAAAUAUGGAUUUUCCAUGUGAAGUGCCUG
rfam:Ruminococcus sp. CAG:108 genomic scaffold, scf166